AUGAACGCUGGCGGCGUGCCUAAUACAUGCAAGACGAGCGAACAGACGAGGAGCUUGCUCCUCUGACGUUAGCGGCGGACGGGUGAGUAACACGUGGAUAACCUACCUAUAAGACUGGGAUAACUUCGGGAAACCGGAGCUAAUACCGGAUAAUAUAUUGAACCGCAUGGUUCAAUAGUGAAAGACGGUUUUGCUGUCACUUAUAGAUGGAUCCGCGCCACAUUAGCUAGUUGGUAAGGUAACGGCUUACCAAGACAACGAUGCGUAGCCGACCUGAGAGGGUGAUCGGCCACACUGGAACUGAGACACGGUCCAGACUCCUACGGGAGGCAGCAGUAGGGAAUCUUCCGCAAUGGGCGAAGGCCUGACGGAGCAACGCCGCGUGAGUGAUGAAGGUCUUCGGAUCGUAAAACUCUGUUAUUAGGGAAGAACAAAUGUGUAAGUAACUAUGCACGUCUUGACGGUACCUAAUCAGAAAGCCACGGCUAACUACGUG
rnacentral:rRNA from 1 species